CCUACGUGAGGCUGCAGUGAGGAAUCUUGGUCAAUGGGCGCGAGCCUGAACCAGCAAAGUCGCGUGAGUGAAGACGGUCCUAUGGAUUGUAAACCUCUUUUGUCGGGGAGCAAAAGACGCCACGCGUGGCGUUCCGAGAGUACCCGAAGUAACAGCAUCGGCUAACUCCGUGCCAGCAGCCGCGGUACUACGGGGGAUGCGAGCGUUACCCGGAUUUAUUGGGUUUAAAGGGUGCGUAGGCGGAAGGUUAAGUCAGCGGUCAAAUGUCGGUGCUCAACACCGGCGUGCCGUUGAAACUGGUCUUCUUGAGUGAGCGAGAAGUGUGCGGAAUGCGUGGUGUAGCGGUGAAAUGCAUAGAUAUCACGCAGAACUCCGAUUGCGAAGGCAGCAUACCGGCGCUCAACUGACGCUGAGGCACGAAAGCGUGGGGAGCGAACAGGAUUAGAUACCCGAGUAGUC
rnacentral:rRNA from 1 species